rnacentral:rRNA from 1 species
CAGCAGCCGCGGUAAUACGUAGGUGGCGAGCGUUGUCCGGAAUCAUUGGGCGUAAAGCGAGCGCAGGCGGUUAGAUAAGUCUGAAGUUAAAGGCUGUGGCUUAACCAUAGUACGCUUUGGAAACUGUUUAACUUGAGUGCAAGAGGGGAGAGUGGAAUUCCAUGUGUAGCGGUGAAAUGCGUAGAUAUAUGGAGGAACACCGGUGGCGAAAGCGGCUCUCUGGCUUGUAACUGACGCUGAGGCUCGAAAGCGUGGGGCGCAAACAGGAUUAGAUACCCCAGUAGUCCCUGUCUCUUAUACA